UACAGGGGGUGCUAGCGUUGUUCGGAAUUACUGGGCGUAAAGGGCGCGUAGGCGGUUUUGAAAGUCAGGAGUGAAAUCCCGGAGCUUAACUUCGGAAUUGCUUUUGAAACUUCAAGGCUAGAGUGAGUUAGAGGAUGGCGGAAUUCCUAGUGUAGUGGUGAAAUACGUAGAUAUUAGGAAGAACACCGGUGGCGAAGGCGGCCAUCUGGGACUCAACUGACGCUGAGGCGCGAAAGCGUGGGGAUCAAACAGG
rnacentral:rRNA from 1 species